rnacentral:misc_RNA from 1 species
GAUGAAGAACGCAGCGAAAUGCGAUACGUAAUGUGAAUUGCAGAAUCCAGUGAAUCAUCGAAUCUUUGAACGCAUAUUGCGCUCUCUGGUAUUCCGGAGAGCAUGCUUGUUUGAGUAUCAGUAAACACCUCAACUUCCAUAUCUUUUUUGAAAUGGGAGUUGGACUUGAGUGAUCCCAACGCUUUUCCUCACCGAAAAGUGGCGGGUUACUUGAAAUGCAGGUGCAGCUGGACUUUUCUCUGAGCUAUAAGCAUAUCUAUUUAGUCUGCCUAAAAAACAGAUUAUUACCUUUGCUGCAGCUAACAUAAAGGAGAUUAGUUCUUGUGCUGACUGAUGCAGGAUUCACAAAGACGGCUUCGGCCGACUUUGUAAACUCGAUCUCAAAUCAAGUAAGACUACCCGCUGAACUUAAGCAUAUCAAUAAGCGGAGGA